AGAUCCAGUUCCAAGUGCCGAACCGAACGCGGAGCCAGGAGGUGAGCUUGCGGUGCAGACAGAGCAGGGGGGCAGCACCCGCCACACCAGCUCUUACAGCCCCGUCAUACUCUUGUGGCCCUCGGGUACCCCCUCUCCCUCCCGCCCACUCCCGUGGCGCUACGGCUUUUUAUCCGCCCCUGCGCCGGCGCGGGCAUCGCUCCGCGUCCCCCCGCCCCCUAAGCCCGAACCCCUUUCCACUGCCAACACCUCACCUCGCCCCCGCCGCCAUCUUCCUCCUCCCUUGGCAGCCCCGCCCUAAAAAUAAAUAAUUUUAAAAAGCAUU
ensembl:lncRNA LINC00621 long intergenic non-protein coding RNA 621